UACCAGCACCCCGAGUGGUCGGGACGUUUAUUGGGCCCAAAGCAUCCGUAGCCGGUUCUACGAGUCUUCCGUUAAAUCCAACUGCUUAACAGGUGGGCUGCGGAAGAUACUAUAGAGCUAGGAGGCGGGAGAGGCAAGCGGUACUCGAUGGGUAGGGGUAAAAUCCGUUGAUCCAUUGAAGACCACCAGUGGCGAAGGCGGCUUGCCAGAACGCGCUCGACGGUGAGGGAUGAAAGCUGGGGGAGCAAACCGG
rnacentral:rRNA from 1 species